AUUGAACGCUAGCGGGAGGCCUAACACAUGCAAGUCGAACGAGUGGCGGACGGGUGAGUAAUGUAUGGGAACCUGCCCAAUGGAGGGGGAUAACUACUGGAAACGGUAGCUAAUACCGCAUACCAUCAGAUGUGCCCAGAUGGGAUUAGCUAGUUGGUGGGGUAACGGCUCACCAAGGCGACGAUCCCUAGCUGGUCUGAGAGGAUGACCCGGCAAACUGGGACCGGGAACAGGGCCAGACCCCUACGGGAGGCAGCAGGGGGGAAUAUUGGACAAUUGGCGGAAGCCUGAUGCAGCCAAGCCGCGUGGAUGAAGAAGGCCUUCGGGUUGUAAAAGACUUUCAGCGGGGAGGCGUUACCCGCAGAAGAAGCACCGGCUAACUCCGUGCCAGCAGCCGCGGUAAUAC
rnacentral:rRNA from 1 species